CCCGGACUUGUCGGCCAUGUUGAAGGCAAGCCUCAACUCAGAGCAGAAUUUUUGUGACUACAUAGCGAAAAUUAUAAGUGUUUGACUAAAAUAGCAGCACACAAGGGGAGAUCAUCCACCACUGUUCAGCCACUAAAGGCAGCCUGUGAAGGCUUCCCACCUGACCUCCUGCACGACCUGUUUGAAGGUGUUGUUCCAGUGGAGUUGGCGCAUUGCUUAAAAGUGUCUGACUAAAGAAGCAGAACAGAAACAUCAGCAGAUCUUCCCAGCCCUUAAGCCAAUGUAUAGAAACUUCAGAUUCAGAUGGUUGCAACAGGGAUACUGAAGCUAAGGGUCAUCCUUGAUAAUGAUAAUGCUGAAAGACUUAUUUUGCCAUCUCGUCCAUCCAGUGUCCAAGCCCUCAUAGAUGAGAUCAAAUCUAGGCUAAAGUUGACUUUUGACUUUCGGCUUCAGUUUCACGACCCAGAUUCUGAUUAUGCAUUGUGUAAUUUGGUUGUAAUAGAAGACUUGCCAGGCACAGCAUCUGUUAAAGUUGUCAGAUUAGUUGAGCUGGACCAGAUUUCAACCAGUACUGAUGACACUCAUUCUGACUGAUAGCACUGAUACCACAGAUAUUAGUCGGUGUUCCGAUAUUUUCUUAUGAGGAAGAACAUGUGCUAAGGGAAGGUAAUGCAGCAUUUGAAAAGGAUGGGAAAGUAAUUACACUAACUAGAGAUCAAAAACACAACAUACUCGAGACAAUGGGGGAAGAAAUCUAUAGACUAAAGGCAUAUCCUAGUAGCACACAAAUUGGCAAGGCUGCAGAAGCUUUAGUUAGAAAGCAUCCCUGUCUGAAGGAGAGAAAUUUUGACACUGGGUGGGACGGAUGGAAGAAUAGUCUGAGACAUAAAGUAGGAAACCAAAGAAAGAAGUUGGCUAAAGCUGGCAUCAAGGAUGUUGCUAUAAAUGCUGGAAAGCGCAGCAGAACAAACCCACAAGGAGCUGCACCAAGGGCGAAUAUCAAAAGACCUAGGAGAGGUGAGGUCAACUUCCUUCCCAGUUAUCCUUCUGGAGAAACAAGGGAGUCUCUGGAGACCAGGAGGCUUGUGAUGGUAGAGCAGUACAAGAGGACCUCUGCAGAAAGAGAUGUCCCUCUUAUUCAUCAGCAUAUGAUGUGCACCUUUGCCCUCCGACGUGAAGAGAUCAUCACAACUUCUCCUGCUGUAUCAGAGCUUAAGGACAGAUGGCCAGCACUCUUUUAUGAGACACAGCUCUACUGUGAAUUUCACCAAUCAGCAUCUACCACAUGUGUUUUAUGCUGCACUGGAUGAAUAUGCUCCUCAGCUGAUUGGACUUUACAAAAAGAAGAAAACUGGACUGGUUGGUGAAAAGAUGGAGCAGCUUUUGCUGGCAUAUCAGCAACAGGACAAAAAUGACAUCUAUGCAACAAGAACAGCAGCCCUGGCUGGCCUACCCAUUUACCUUAAGGAGGAUUCUUCAGACAUUUUCAAAACAUGCAAGGAUGAAAUGGAGUUCUAUGAAGGUGCAGUUGCUCUGGUUGCUGAUGUGGAUGAAGAGGAGGUGCCUGCAGGAGUUCCUUUCUCACCACGCCAAGUGUUCAUCGUGCUUGAGGAUCAGGUUGUAAUGACUCAUCCCUUAUGGACUGAUGCACUGGUAUGUCUGUUUGGACUAAUCUAUGCUCUGCAUCUGAGCUAUCCUGAGAAGUGCAGUGGCUUUUUUGAGUUCAUUCAAGUAGUGUUGCUGAAGCUAGAUGACGGGAGAAAGCAACUGAAACCAAAAUUGCACACACUGAAAAAUGAGCUGGUGUAGAAUUUGUUGUCCACAGGUCAAUACAUUCAUGCUUGUCCAGGAAUCUGUCACAGUCUGUUGUUCAACCUGCCUGUUACUAAUGUUCUCUCACCCUAAGAGGCGCUGGAGCUGCAGACCGGAGUGUAGACAGGUGUACGUCGUUGCUUCAUCAGCUGGAGGACUAUAUGAGGGUGGUUCGCUGGCUUUUCUACGCCUGAGUGUUUGCCUACCGUGGCUGUUCACGCCAAGCUGGGGUUUCUUCCUGAACCCACCUCCUGUCAAGACUGGAAUCUGCUGCUGCCCUUGCGAGUCCUCCAGCUGGAAGCGCAACCUGUCCACCACUUUGUUACCUGGAACAUCAGAUCGCUCCAAUCGUUUCCGUGCAGGCACUACCACAGACUUGAACCGGUUUCUCCCCCUGGCGGAUCGAUCGCCUUCCGGAAAUCUGUCUCCUGAUCGCUCUGCCCACCUCGUUCCUGAGUCGAAAAGAAAUAAAAGAAAAACUUAA